rnacentral:rRNA from 1 species
GACGAACGCUGGCGGCGUGCCUAAUACAUGCAAGUUGAGCGCUGAAGGUUGGUACUUGUACCAACUGGAUGAGCAGCGAACGGGUGAGUAACGCAUGGGGAAUCUGCCUUUGAGCGGGGGACAACAUUUGGAAACGAAUGCUAAUACCGCAUAAAAACUUUAAACACAAGUUUUAAGUUUGAAAGAUGCAAUUGCAUCACUCAAAGAUGAUCCCGCGUUGUAUUAGCUAGUUGGUGAGGUAAAGGCUCACCAAGGCGAUGAUACAUAGCCGACCUGAGAGGGUGAUCGGCCACAUUGGGACUGAGACACGGCCCAAACUCCUACGGGAGGCAGCAGUAGGGAAACUUCGGCAAUGGACGAAAGUCUGACCGAGCAACGCCGCGUGAGUGAAGAAGGUUUUCGGAUCGUAAAACUCUGUUGGUAGAGAAGAACGUUGGUGAGAGUGGAAAGCUCAUCAAGUGACGGUAACUACACAGAAAGGGACGGCUAACUACGUG